rnacentral:lncRNA from 1 species
GUAAAUCCUUUUUUACCUUAAAUUUUGAAGCGCGCCACACACAAUUUCAAACUUUAUUUCUCGUCUUUGCCUCCGUUUCGCGUUUGCACUCUGAGUUCGUCUCCUUCUACUGCAUCUGCAUUCCAUUUGUGCAAUGUAAGUUUCUUGAACUCUCUUUUUUCCUCUUCAUCUUCACAAAUAUAUGCAUAAAUGUUUUUCGUUUUUCUUAUAUAUGUUUUUUUCCUUGCAUUAGUGGUCUCGAAGCACUCUUUCAUUGUCUUCGUGGUUUCUUGUGGAUUUUUUGGUUUGCUCCGUUGCUGCUUCCCUGCCUGUCCGUCGUCGCUUCUGCUGCCGCCACCGUUGUUCGCUCUCGUGACUCUUCAUCAAUCUUGCCUUCACACAAGAUUGACGAUGUUUUAAAAUUUUUAAUUUUUUUUAAUGAUUCGGCAUAUACAAGUGCGGUUAAAGCAAAUAACCGCACUUGUAAAUGGUAUUUAUAAAUGCGACUCUAUAUAGCCGCAUUUAUAUUUUUUGAUUUACAAGUGCGUGUUGAUCAAAUGCGGUUAUAAAGCCGCAUUUAUAAAUUCAAAACAACCGCAUUUGUUUUAUGUUUCUGCACUAGUG